AUGGCACUUCACGCCCCCAAGGCCCCAGGCUUGCCCAGAUGCUCAAGGAGGGAGCCACACACUUUUCAGGAUUAGAAGAGGCUGUGUAUAGAAAUAUACAUGCUUGCAAGAAGCUUGCCCAAGCCACCCGUACAACAAAUGGACCAAAUGGAAUGAACAAAAUGGCUAUCAGCCACCUGGAGAAGCUGUUGGUGCCAAAUGACGCAGCAACUAUGUUAAGAGCACUAGAAGUUCAGCAUCGUGCUGCAAAAAUGACUGUGAUGGCCUCUCAUGGGCAAGAACAAGAGGGCGGAGGUGGCACAAAGUUGGUUCUGGUCUUUGCUGGAGCUCUUCUGGAAUUAGCUGAAGAACUUCUGAAGACUGGCCUGUCAGUUUCAGACGUUACAGAAGGGUACAAAGCAGUCUGCAAAAAAGCCCAUGAAAUUCUUUCUGAUUUAGUAUGCUGUUCUGCAAAAAACCUUCGGGAUGCUGAAGCAUCAGCUCUGCUUCGUACCUCCAUAAUGAAUAACAGUAUGGGAAUGAAGCAUUUCUAGCCAAACCGAUUGCUCAGGCAUGUGUAUCUAUUUUUCCUGACUCUGGCCAUUUCAAAGUUGAUAACAUCAGAAUUUAGAAAAUUCUGGGCUCUGGUAUCUUCCUCUUCAGUAUUACAUGGCAUGGUUUUUAAGAAGGAAACUGAAGGUGAUGUAAUAUCUGUCAAGGAAGCAAAAACUGCAGUGUACUCAUGCCCUUCUGAUGGCAUGAUAACAGAAACUAAGGAGUACUGAUAAAGACAGUUGAAGAAUUGAUAAAUUUUAGUAAAGGAGAAGAAAAUCUUGUGGAUGCACAAGUCAAAGCUAUUGCUGAUAGUGGUGCAGAUAUUGUAACAGGUGGCAAAGUGGUGGACAUGGCUCUUCACUAUGCAAACAAAAUAUGCUGGUGAGGCUUAACCUGAAAUGGGAUCUUAAGGACAAACAGUGCUACAGCUCUUCCUAGACUGACUCCUCCUGUCCUGGAAGAAAUGGAACACUGUAACAGCAUGUACCUCUCAGAAGUUGGAGACACACAGGUGGUGAUUUUUACACAUGAAAAAGAAGAUGGUGCCAUUUCUACUAUUGUAUUUUGAGGUUCUACUGACAGUCUAAUGGAUGGCAUAGAAAGGGCAUGGAUGACAUGGUGGUGUUAACACUUUCAAAAUUCUCACAGAGGAUAAACGUCUUGUACCUGGAGCUGGCGCAACAGAAACUGGCCAAACAGAUCACAUCAUACGGAGAGGCCUGUCCUGGACUUGAACAAUACACUAUCAAGAAGUUUGCUGAGGCUUUUGAGGCUAUCCCAUGGGCACGGGCAGAGAAUUUGCCACCUGUUACGAUGACAUCUGCACUAGUAUAAGUUAAGGCCAAUGAAGCAAUCUCUAAACUUUAUGCAGUGCAUCAAGAAGCAAAUAACAAUGUUGGAUUAGAUGUUGAGGCUGAAGUUCCUACUGUAAAGGACGUGCUGGAAGCUGGUGUUCUAGAUACUUAUCCGAGAAAAUACUGGGCUUUAUCAAGUUGGCUACUAAUGCUGCAGUCACUGUACUUGGAGCUGAUCAGAUCAUCAUGGCCAAACCAGCCAGGGGGCCCAAGCUUCCAAGUGGAAAGAAGGAUUGGGAUGAUGACCAAAAUGAGUGA